GGGAGCUCCACAUUUUGGAGACCCAGCAGGAGCAGAAUGAGUCACCAGUCAUAUUAUCAGAUUUUGUGCUGAGGCAGAGGUCUCCUAUAACAGAAGACAACAGGAGCAGCAGCUGGAGAGGCCUUCACUGCAGCAGAGAGGGCUAUCAGUAUUGAGGACCAUGCCGACACAGUGACAAGGCUGCGGUGACAAGCUGUUGAGUACAGAUCUAUCUUGCAGUAUAUAGCGGAAUUAAUAAGGAUUACAUUCUUUACUGCCAAGCGAUAUACUGUGUUCUGUGUUUACCAAAUAAAUAAAGUUUGUCAGACUCAUAUUGAUCCACAGGAUAUACAGUAAUAAAGCACUGUGUCAUGUCACUGUAAUAAAGAUUUAUA